GACGAACGCUGGCGGCGUGCUUACACAUGCCAGUCGAACGGAAAGGCCCUUCGGGGUACCCGAGUGGCGAACGGGUGAGUAACACGUGGGUGAUCUGCCCUGCACUUUGGGAUAAGCCUGGGAAACUGGGUCUAAUACCGGAUAGGACCACGGCAUUCAUGUGCUGUGGUGGAAAGCUUUUGCGGUGUGGGAUGGGCCCGCGGCCUAUCAGCUUGUUGGUGGGGUAAUGGCCUACCAAGGCGACGACGGGUAGCCGGCCUGAGAGGGUGACCGGCCACACUGGGACUGAGAUACGGCCCAGACUCCUACGGGAGGCAGCAGUGGGGAAUAUUGCACAAUGGGCGCAAGCCUGAUGCAGCGACGCCGCGUGAGGGAUGACGGCCUUCGGGUUGUAAACCUCUUUCGCCAGGGACGAAGCGCAAGUGACGGUACCUGGAGAAGAAGGACCGGCCAACUACGUG
rnacentral:rRNA from 1 species